rnacentral:rRNA from 1 species
UACGGAGAGGGCUAGCGUUGUUCGGAAUUACUGGGCGUAAAGCGCACGUAGGCGGCUUUGUAAGUUAGAGGUGAAAGCCCAGGGCUCAACCCUGGAAUUGCCUUUAAGACUGCAUCGCUUGAAUCAUGGAGAGGUGAGUGGAAUUCCGAGUGUAGAGGUGAAAUUCGUAGAUAUUCGGAAGAACACCAGUGGCGAAGGCGACUCACUGGACAUGUAUUGACGCUGAGGUGCGAAAGCGUGGGGAGCAAACAGG